UACGAAGGGUGCUAGCGUUGUUCGGAAUUACUGGGCGUAAAGCGCGCGUAGGCGGCGAUUCAAGUCAGAGGUGAAAUCCCUGGGCUCAACCCAGGAAUUGCCUUUGAAACUGUAUCGCUUGAGUGUCGGAGGGGAUAGCGGAAUUCCUAAUGUAGAGGUGAAAUUCGUAGAUAUUAGGAGGAACACCGGUGGCGAAGGCGGCUAUCUGGACGACAACUGACGCUGAGGCGCGAAAGCGCGGGGAUCAAACAGG
rnacentral:rRNA from 1 species